AGUAAGCAUGAUCUGCUUCACUAGCUGGUGUAAAGGCCUUCCACGAGAAAAGUGGAUAAAGAACAUAUUGAUAAGCAUUGUAUUCAGUUAUUCACCAAAGUUAAUAAAAGGUGCUGGUAGCAGGCUUCAAGACUCAAUUCCUGUAUUCACAGAAGAUAUUCAGCAGAGGUGUUUUUAUUAGGAAUAGCUCCUGAGUGGGCCAUGAGACUGUCUUCCUGGCACAGAGACAAGAAAUGCUUACUUCCAACCUUGCACCCAGCAUCCUCAAUCACAUAAUGAUGGAGAGUAGAGCUCCAUCCCUCCAACACGCUGACUCAUGUACCUCUGCUCAGCACAUAAGUCAGGGGCAUUUACGUCCUCCGUGAAGCAUAAAAAUACCUUUUUUUUUUAAUAGCUCACAGGCAACAAUAUUUCUCCUCCUGCAACUGGUCAUGCA